rnacentral:rRNA from 1 species
AGUGAACGCUGGCGGUAGGCCUAACACAUGCAAGUCGAACGGCAGCACAGUAAGAGCUUGCUCUUACGGGUUGCGAGUGGCGGACGGGUGAUGAAUACAUCGGAAUCUACUUUUUCGUGGGGGAUAACGUAGCGAAACUUACGCUAAUACCGCAUACGACCUACGGGUGAAAGCAGGGGAUCUUCGGACCUUGCGCGAUUGAAUGAGCCGAUGUCGGAUUAGCUAGUUGGCGGGGUAAAGGCCCACCAAGGCGACGAUCCGUAGCUGGUCUGAGAGGAUGAUCAGACACACUGGAACUGAGACACGGUCCAGACUCCUACGGGAGACAGCAGUGGGGAAUAUUGGACAAUGGGCGCAAGCCUGAUACAGCCAUACCGCGUGGGUGAAGAAGGCCUUCGGGUUGUAAAGCCCUUUUGUUGGGAAAGAAAAGCAGCAGGUUAAUACCCCGCUGUUCUGACGGUACCCAAAGAAUAAGCACCGGCUAACUUCGUG